UCCUAGGGCGUGUGCGUGCAAUGGGUUCAGGAAAAGCUCAAUUCUAUUGCAAGAGACAUCAACAGGCUAUGGUGAUGGCUCAAAGGUGAAAAGGAAGAUAACAAUGAAAGCUCAAAAAUGGAAGGGUAAUGGAGAUGGUGGAGCUCAAAGGUGAUGGAAAGAUUGAGGGAUGUCACGACUAACUCUGCUGAUAUUCAAAGAGGUUCAAAGUUUCUUCAC
rnacentral:lncRNA from 1 species